GCAGUCUUUCUGUUUUUUAUCCAGCCAUCUGCCCAUCUGUCAUCUCUCCCUGUUUCAGCAAGCAUAAAGCAUUUAUUAAGCACUUAGGUUAUCAGUGGGUGUUUGGGGCUGUAUCGUGUCCUCCACACAACUCACAGGUGGACGUCUUAACCCUUGUAGCUCAGAUGGGACUGUCUUUGGAGACAGGGCCUUUAAAGAGGUAAUUAAGGCAAAGUGGGGUCAUAUGGGUGGCCUUUAAUCCAACCCUUAUAAGAAGAGGAGAUCAGGACAGAGGCAGGCGAGGAGGGAGAUCCAUGCAAGAAGACAGUCAGCUGCUAGCCAAUAAGAGAGACCUCAGAUUGAGAUCAAGCCAAAUCAAACACCUUAAUCUUGGACUUCCAGACUCCAGAACUGUGUAAAAAUAUACUUCUGUUGGUUAAGCAGCCCCGUCUGUGGUAUUUUGUUCGGGCAGUGCUCGCUGACUAUUACUGUGUCUCUUCCAGGUAGUGGAGACCAGUGAUGCACAGACUCCUCAAGCUGCUCAGAGCCUAGCAGGGGAUGUGGAACCCCAAAGGAGCACAGGCGGAAGGAGGCCCUGAAGCUGAUCACCACCAUCUGCUACUUCCUCCUCCUCGUUCUCAGGGUGGACCCUCUGCUGGGUCAGCAUAUGCUGCCAAGGAGUCCACUGGGCCAUGUCAGGAACCAGGACUGGAUGCAUCUGGGAUGAAGCAGCUCCUCGGCUGGCAUGCUCUGGGCUGAGCCCUGUGCUUUUUUUUUCUUUUUUCCUCAUUCUGAAAAAAUACUGGGAGAGCAGGAGGCUGUCAGCUGUGUUUCCUGCUUCACAAGGAGAGCUUUGUUUGAAGAAGUUUCAGAGUGCAAAAGUCAGAUUGAAUACAAUGGAGACACAAAAUGAAAUUGCUCUUUACAAGAAAUACAGGUGCAAUAAAAUGGAGAUACACUUGUUUUAACGCUGCACUUGUCCUGAGGAUUUCUAAAGGCUACUGAUAGGUUAAGCCAAAGUGCAGU
rnacentral:lncRNA from 1 species